ACUCCUACGGGAGGCAGCAGUGGGGAAUUUUGGACAAUGGGCGAAAGCCUGAUCCAGCAAUGCCGCGUGAGUGAAGAAGGCCUUCGGGUUGUAAAGCUCUUUUGUCAGGGAAGAAACGGUGAGAGCUAAUAUCUCUUGCUAAUGACGGUACCUGAAGAAUAAGCACCGGCUAACUACGUGCCAGCAGCCGCGGUAAUACGUAGGGUGCAAGCGUUAAUCGGAAUUACUGGGCGUAAAGCGUGCGCAGGCGGUUUUGUAAGUCUGAUGUGAAAUCCCCGGGCUCAACCUGGGAAUUGCAUUGGAGACUGCAAGGCUAGAAUCUGGCAGAGGGGGGUAGAAUUCCACGUGUAGCAGUGAAAUGCGUAGAUAUGUGGAGGAACACCGAUGGCGAAGGCAGCCCCCUGGGUCAAGAUUGACGCUCAUGCACGAAAGCGUGGGGAGCAAACAGGAUUAGAUACCCUGGUAGUCCCA
rnacentral:rRNA from 1 species